CCUACGGGGCGCUGCAGUGGGGAAUAUUGGGCAAUGGGCGCAAGCCUGACCCAGCAACGCCGCGUGAAGGAAGAAGGCUUUCGGGUUGUAAACUUCUUUUCUCAGGGACGAAGAAAGUGACGGUACCUGAGGAAUAAGCCAAGGCUAACUACGUGCCAGCAGUCGCGGUAAGACGUAGGUGGCAAGCGUUAUCCGGAUUUAUUGGGUGUAAAGGGCGUGUAGGCGGGAGCGCAAGUCAGAUGUGAAAACUCAGGGCUCAACCCUGAGCCUGCAUUUGAAACUGUGUUUCUUGAGUGCUGGUGAGGCAAUCGGAAUUCCGUGUGUAGCGGUGAAAUGCGUAGAUAUACGGAGGAACACCAGUGGCGAAGGCGGAUUGCUGAACAGUAACUGACGCUGAGGCGCGAAAGCGUGGGGAGCAAACAGGAUUAGAUACCCGUGUAGUC
rnacentral:rRNA from 1 species